rnacentral:rRNA from 1 species
UCGCUACUACCGAUUGAAUGGCUUAGUGAGACCUUCGGAUUGAGGUUUGGUGGCCGCAAGGCUGCUUUGCUUUGAAAAGUUGUUCAAACUUGGUCAUUUAGAGGAAGUAA